rnacentral:piRNA from 1 species
UGCAUCAGGUACAAAAAGAAAGAUGUCAGC